rnacentral:rRNA from 1 species
AUUGAACGCUGGCGGCAUGCCUUACACAUGCAAGUCGAACGGUAACAGGUCUUCGGAUGCUGACGAGUGGCGAACGGGUGAGUAAUACAUCGGAACGUGCCCGAGAGUGGGGGAUAACGAGGCGAAAGCUUUGCUAAUACCGCAUACGAUCUCAGGAUGAAAGCAGGGGACCGCAAGGCCUUGCGCUCACGGAGCGGCCGAUGGCAGAUUAGGUAGUUGGUGGGAAAAAAGCUUACCAAGCCGACGAUCUGUAGCUGGUCUGAGAGGACGACCAGCCACACUGGGACUGGGACACGGCCCAGACUCCUACGGGAGGCAGCAGUGGGGAAUUUUGGACAAUGGGCGCAAGCCUGAUCCAGCCAUGCCGCGUGCAGGAUGAAGGCCUUCGGGUUGUAAACUGCUUUUGUACGGAACGAAAAGACUCCUUCUAAUAAAGGGGGUCCAUGACGGUACCGUAAGAAUAAGCACCGGCUAACUACGUGCCAGCCGCCGCCGUAACAC